rnacentral:rRNA from 1 species
GCUGGCGGCGUGCUUAACACAUGCAAGUCGAACGCGAACGUCUUCUUCGGAAGAUUAGUAGAGUGGCGCACGGGUGAGUAACGCGUAAGUAAUCUACCCUCGCAUUCGGGAUAACGCAGCGAAAGGUGUGCUGAUACCGGAUACGUCUAAGUUAAUAUCUUUUUUUUAGAGAAAGGUGGCCUCUGAUUCACGCUACUGUGCGGGGAGGAGCUUGCGUACCAUUAGCUAGUUGGUAGGGUAAGGGCCUACCAAGGCGACGAUGGUUAGCGGGUCUGAGAGGAUGAUCCGCCACACUGGAACUGAAACACGGACCAGACUCCUACGGGAGGCAGCAGUGAGGAAUAUUGCGCAAUGGGGGCAACCCUGACGCAGCGACGCCGCGUGGAUGAUGAAGGCCUUCGGGUUGUAAAAUCCUGUCAGAUGGGAAGAAGUGAUGGCGGCCUAAUACGUCGUUAUUUUGACGGUACCAUCAAAGGAAGCACCGGCUAACUCCGUGCCAGCAGCCGCGGUAAUACGGAGGGUGCAAGCGUUGUUCGGAAUUACUGGGCGUAAAGCGCGCGUAGGCGGCGUGUUAAGUCAGAUGUGAAAGCCCAUGGCUCAACCAUGGAUGUGCAUUUGAAACUGGCAUGCUUGAGU